CUAAUGGCUCCUUUACCCUUAUGAACUUGUGUGGGAAAGUCACCUUUGAUGGAUCCAACUUCAAUGAGUGGAUCAGAAACAUCAGGAUGAUUACCCGCUACGAGGACAAAGAAUAUGUCCUUGACAAGGAGCUUAAGGAGAUUGAUGAGUCCACUGCAACUCCUCAGGAGAUCGCUGAAUUUCGGGCACAUGAAAGGGAUGCUACGAAAGUGGCUUGCAUCAUGAUGGCCACGAUGACAGCGGAACUCCAAAAGUCUUAUGAGGAUUUCUACCCUUAUGACAUGCACCAAGAUUUGAUGGAAAGAUACCAUCAAAGUGCAAGACAAGAGAGGUAUGAAAUCAUCUGCUCCAUGAUAACAACCAUGAUGAAGGACGGGGAAUCCGUCACGAGCCACAUGCAGAAAAUGCAAAGGUAUGUGGAUCGUUUGCUGAAGCUUAAUGUGAACUUCCCGGAGGAUCUUGCAAUAGAUAUUAUUUUGCAUUCCUUACCAUCGUGCUAUGAUCAAUUCCGCAUGACAUAUCACAUGAACAAGGAAGAAGUCACCCUCAGCAAACUUCAGGGACUUCUCAAGACCGCAGAAACAGGUCUUAAGGGGAAGUCGGUUGCUAUCACUCCUACUCAAAACUCUACUCCGGUUUUGGCAAUCGGGAAAAGUCGAGGGAGGAAGAGAAAGAGCUCUUCUAAGGGUACCAAGGCUCGGACCCUUGAUGGCUCUUCUUCAAGUGGAACCAAGAAAGGUUUCGUUACUCCUUCUUCUGACCCAAAAGAGGCUGAAUGCUUCUAUUGCCAUGAAAAAGCUCAUUGGAAGCGGAACUGCCCAAAAUACCAGCAAGAUGUGAAGGAUGGGAAAGUUAAACCCAACCAUGCAGGUAUUUACACUAUCAUUUCUAAUAACUCACCCCAUUCUAAUUCUUGGGUCCUUGAUACCGGGUGUGGUAUUCACAUUUGUUGUGACUUGCAGGGACUAAGAAGAAGUGAGGAUGUGGAGCAAGGAAGGAUAAACUUGAUCAUGGGGAAUAGGAAAGCUAUACCUGUUACCAAGAUUGGAGUUUAUACUUUAUCGCUAAGUAGUGGGUUUAGUUUAGAUUUGAAUAAGUGUUGUUAUUCGCCAGGAAUGGCAAGAAAUAUUAUUUCCUUUCAUGCUUUGUACAAACAAGGGUUUACCUUUUCAUUUAAUAAUGAAGUUGGUUCUAUAGAUGUUUUCUAUAAUAAUGUCUUUUAUUUUAAAGCAUUACCUUGUGAUGGUGUGUAUGAAGCUGUAUCUGUUGUAGAUAACUUGGGAAAUAAUGUUUUGUGUAUUGAUUCUACUAAUAAUAACUUGGAUAAAGCAUCUUUAUGGCAUUGUCGUCUUGGACAUAUAAGCAAGAAACGCAUAGGCCAACUCCAAAAGGAUGGAGUCUUGGAGUCGUUUGACCUAAAGUCAGAUGAUAGUUGCGAAUCAUGCUUACUUGGAAAAAUGACAAAGUCACCCUUCACAGGUUCGUGUGAGAGGGGUGAAGGUUUGUUGGACCUUAUACACACGGAUGUGUGUGGACCAUUCAAACAUGCCACAAGGGAUGCUAAUCGUUAUUAUUUGACUUUUACUGAUGAUUAUAGUAGAUAUGGAUAUGUCUACUUGAUCAAGCAUAAGUCAGAGACUUUCGAGAGGUUUAAGGAAUUUAAACAGGAAGUCGAGAAUCAAUUGGGCAGGAACAUUAAGAUGCUUCGAUCCGAUCGUGGUGGUGAGUAUCUUAGUUCAGAGUUCCUCGACUAUCUAAGGGAAUGUGGGAUAGUCUCACAAUUGACACCUCCCAGGACACCACAGUUGAAUGGUGUGGCUGAGAGGCGUAAUCGAACCUUGUUAGAUAUGGUUCGUUCCAUGAUGAGUCGAGCUACGCUACCAAUCUCAUUCUGGGGGUAUGCCUUAGAGACUGCCGCCCAUAUUCUUAAUCUAGUCCCUACAAAGAAAGUUGCCAAAACUCCUCACGAGAUGUGGACUGGUAAAGUACCUAAACUAGACCACAUCAAGAUUUGGGGUUGCGAGGCUUUCGUGAGACGCGAGACUCAUGAUAAGCUCGAACCUCGAAGCGAGAGGUGUAUUUUCAUCGGUUACCCACAGCGAUCCUUUGGUUACCUCUUCUACAGACCUAGUGACAAUGUGGUCUUUGUAGCAAGAAGAGGAGUCUUUCGAGAAAGAGAGUUUAUAAGCCAAGGAGACAGUGGGAGGCAAAUUGAUCUUGAAGAAAUUCAAGAAUCAAGCGGUGAAGGAACUUCAAACUCUAGCCCUCAACUUGAGGAGGAAACUCCUGUUGAGCCAAUUGACAAAUCUGUACCUCUGAGACGUUCCACGAGAGUUAGGAGUGCACCUGAGCAUUACUAUGGAUUCCAUAUUACUGCAGAAGGUGAGACACUUAUUAGUGAUGAGACACUAGUAAGUCAAGAUGACCCUAACAGCUACGAGGAAGCCAUGGCAGGCCCCGAGUCUGCUAAAUGGAAAGAGGCUAUGGAUAGCGAGAUACAAUCCAUGUAUGACAAUCAAGUUUGGAACUUGGUUGAAAAUGUACCAGGUCGUAAGACAGUAGGGUGCAAAUGGGUCUUCAAGAAGAAGACCGACAUGGAUGGUAAAGUACACACUUAUAAGGCUAGACUGGUUGCAAAGGGCUUCUCUCAAAUUCCUGGAGUGGAUUAUGAUGAGACCUUUUCUCCGGUAGCCAAGAUUAAGUCUAUUCGGGUUCUGUUAGCCAUAGCUGCAUUUCAUGACUAUGAAAUAUGGCAGAUGGAUGUCAAAACCGCUUUCCUUAAUGGAAAGUUGGCUGAAGAUGUUUACAUGAGUCAGCCAGAGGGUUUUGUCAGCAACGAGUACCCUAAUAGAGUGUGUAAGCUUGAGAAAUCCAUUUAUGGAUUGAAGCAAGCACCUCGCAGAUGGAAUCUUUGCUUUGAUGAAAAGGUCAAGGAAUUUGGCUUUUCUAGGAGUGAAGAUGAAUCUUGUGUGUAUGUCAAGGCUAGUGGGAGUAUAGUUAGCUUUUUGGUAUUGUAUGUGGAUGACAUACUACUCAUAGGAAACGACAUUCCAACCCUGCAGGAAGUAAAGUCCUGGCUUGGGAAGUGUUUCGCUAUGAAGGACCUUGGUGAAGCUGCCUAUAUUCUAGGGAUAAGAAUCUUGAGAGAUCGGAGUAAAAGACUAAUUGGACUUAGUCAGAGUACCUACUUGGAUAAGGUGCUGAAGAGAUUCAGCAUGCAGGAUUCCAAGAAAGGAGAGUUACCCAUCCAGAGUAACACCAGAUUGAGUAAGACACAAAGCCCUAGCACUGAGGCUGAGAUAGCAGAAAUGAGUCGAACACCUUACGCUUCGGCUGUAGGAUCGAUCAUGUAUGCUAUGACGUGUACUCGACCCGAUGUAGCUUUUGCCUUGAGCAUGGUUAGCAGGUAUCAGGCGAACCCUGGCAAGGCACACUGGACUGCGGUAAAGAAUAUCCUCAAGUACCUACGGAGGACUAAGGACUGGGUCCUUACCCUCGGUGGGAGUGAUGACUUGAGAGUUGUAGGGUAUAGUGAUGCUAGCUUCCAGACUGAUAGGGAUAAUUUCCGCUCUCAGUCGGGCUGGGUCUUUACCCUAAACGGAGGAGCAAUUUCUUGGAAGAGUUCCAAGCAAGAGACAGUGGCAGAUUCUACUUGUGAAUCAGAGUAUAUUGCAGCUAGUGAAGCAGCAAAGGAGGCGAUAUGGCUGAAGAACUUCAUUGGAGACCUUGGAGUUGUACCAGCUAUUAAAGAGCCAAUGGAAAUUUUCUGUGAUAGUGAAAGUGCUGUUGCCUUAGCCAAGGAACCAAGGGAUCAUGGGAGAUCCAGACACAUCGACAGAAAAUACCAUUUCAUUAGACAUCGGAUCGAAGAAGGACUCCUCGUGGCAAAGAGGGUAUCAUCGGAUGAGAACCCAGCAGAUCCCCUCACGAAGGGACUGAGUAGGGUUAAGCAUCUCCAGCAUGCUCGGAGCAUAGGGCUGAAGGAUGAUAUAAGUUUUAGUAGUUAGAUAACCCAGAAAUUUGUAAAGUGUAAUUGACAUUUGAUGAUGAAUAAAAGGUGUUUUAUUUAUGAGUAAAGUGUUGCUAUCUCUUGUCGAUCGUUUACUAUAUUUCUUUUGCAUGUUUUGACUUCCAGAAUAAUUUUGUUUGGUAUAACAUAUUAUUCAAACCUCCACAGUCGGUCAUAUGUCGGAAGUAGGUAUGAAUCAAGACUGUCAUGAUGGGUUGUAGAGGUCUAAGGUGUUGGACAAGGCUACAACAAUCAUGAGUGCUCAUAAGUUCUGAGCAUUGGACUCAACCCACGCUCACUGGAAUCACUUCAUGGAAUUCUAUCUCGAGUGAUCGUGAGACGGUAAUAUCAUAUAAGUCUUCAAACCUAGAGAUAUGAUUUGUUACUUACAAGUUGGUUAUGCAUUGACUGUACGAAACCGCAUUGGUAACUCGAUGUUAUAAAACGUACUUUUGUGUGUAAUUCAAUGAGUGGUAGAACAAACAUAUGAGUCGAAGUUUAUCUGUUCCUUCUUGGAUUAGAAGCUGAUAUCUGGGCCCCUCGAUGAUUUUGUUUUGACCCAUGUACCGGGCCCGGUCAGAACUAAGUUGAUGUGUUCAAUUAAGUUCUAUGUCAAACAAAUCGGAAAUCGGGAAACAAAUGCUGGACAAUAAGCAAGACAAUGUUCCAUGUAUUUGUCCGGCUGAUAUCUAGAACGGAGGAUUAUAUGAUCACUUAUCUUAAAUGGCGUACCAUCAUCUUCUCAGUUCCGAGAGACCUUGAAAGAGCUACGAUUGCCGGUCGGUUCCUGAAGUACUGGAGAUAUAGUUAUUAGACUUAUCCAAGUGGGAGACUGUUGGAUAAGGUGUCUAAGUCCAUAACUAUUUCUGGUUAGUACUUGACCCGACCCGGCAUGGUCCAUUUGGGUUGCAUGGCACCAUGCAAUUGGAUAGACUAAAUGAGAGGAAUAACACUUGGAGAUUAUUAAUAUAUUAUAAGUUCUAAUAUAUUAAUAAUAUUAUUUGAUUAGUUUGAUCAAAGAAUUAAUUUGGAAUUAAUUAAGUGAUCAAAAGAUAACUAAUUAAAUAUAUGGGUUGAUUAUGUAAAUCAUCCAUAUCUUGUAUAGUGGGCUAAGAGGCUCCAUGGAUUAUCAAGUUGGGUUCUACCCAUAGGAUGCUCCAUGGAUGCUCCAUGGGAGUUACAAACCCAUGGGUCAUGGAAAUGAAGAGUCAUGACACAUUAGGGUUUACAUGGUGUAACCCUAGAUGUGUCAACACUAUAUAAGAGUCCCAUUCUCCACCAAAAUCGGCUACACAUAAGAAACAAGAGGGCUAGGCCGAUUUCAAGAAGUGUGUGUUCUCUCAAAAGUCUUUCCAAGAGCAUUUGGUGUUGUGUGAAGCAUUUGAGGCAUCACACUUGGGGUGCUAGGCUCACAAGGUUUCAAGGAACAUAAGCAACAACAAGGUAAGUUAUUCUAUCUUUCAUUCAAGUUAGAAAUUGUUCCCCAUGUAUGCUAGAUAGGAAUAUAACCUUGGAAUUCAACUUCGCUUGAUAAUUAGACAAACAUAGAUCCAAGGUUAUUAGGGUUGCAUGUAUACUUAGGAAGUGUUAGAAUGCUCAAAACCCAUCAAAUACAGUCCACACCGAGGCCCAAUACUCAAGGUCCAACUGACUGUGUUACGCGGGGUGUACUCCAGAGUACGCUUAGCAUAACGGCUUGAUGGCAAGUACGCUGGGCGUACCUAUACGUACGCUCAGCGUAAUACCCUGAUAAGCUCUUUCUCUAUUAAGUGCUUAAUACUCCGAGUCAGAAGCUACAAUCUUCGAUCCAGGUCUGAUCCCACGUCUUAAACCAUAAAGGUACUUACUUGAUGGCUUACAAGACUCCCAUAAGCUCAACCUUCUAAAAACAACCAUUUAUUUCCAAGAAGGUGGCUAGAUCUCAUGCAUGGCUUCAUAAAAGCCUCAAAGAUCGAAACUUUACUUCUAUGGGGACACUUUGAGCUUCAAGAAUAGCGAUCCCAAGCUCCAAAACGAAGUUGCAUGAUAAAGGUCCUUCCUUUGGACUUAAAAGGUCCAAACUUCCAAAAACUCCUAGAUCUAUGCUUACAAGUGGAAAGUUGGAAGCUUUAUACCUCUUUUGGAUGCCAAAUGAAGAAAUCAUCCCAGAUCCUUGAGCUCAAGGUACUCAAGUUCUCCUUCUUCCAAUCUACUUCUCUUCUUCCAAGCUUUUCUUCACAAAAAUGAACCCAAAAGAUCCACCACACACAAACAAAGGGGGUAAGGGACGAACUACGGUUUUCUGAGAGUGAAGGAUAUGUGCGGAGGCCAAAUAAGAGCCUAUAAUGGGGUUUAAAUAAGUCUCAAACCCUAAAAUUCUCAGACCAUGAACGCUUCGGUUGAUAACCUUCAGCGCUCUCUGCAAGCUGAAACAUCCAAUCUUGAAGCUGCUCGUGAAGCCAUCGAAGCUGCGAAUGCCACUCUACAUGAUAAUGUAAUUGACCGUUUGACUCAACUGGAGGUAGUGUUGGCUGUGGAAAAUCGUAUCAUGGAUGAACUGGACAAACAAACCUCUCAGCUUAACAUGCAGAACCUCAAGCUUCACACUGCAACCCUGGAGCUUAACAAUUUGAAAUCUGAACGGGAGGUUAUUUGAAGCUCUGUUGGCGAUGUUCAUUCCAUUUUGCUUCACCUCCUUGAUGCCCAUGGUCCCAUCAUGACCAUUACCAUCUUAAGGAAUUUGGCUGAAAAACUAGGACCUGCAUUGGUCAUCAUUAGUCGCAUAGAGGGUGUUCCGGUGACUGAGGUCCAACCGAAACAAGGGGGAUAAAAGGCAGCGAAAACUCAACCUCCUCCUAAAAUGAAACCAACAACUGAACUGAAGGUUAAUGAAGCUUCGGUCAGUAAAAGAGACAAGAAGAUAAAGAAGAUUAGUGUAGAUGACACUGUUGAUGAAGAUGAUGUUUUUGAAGAAAAUCCCGCUAAGCCUUUUCAGAAAACAAAAUCUUAUGAUAAAGAGAUUGAAGAAAAACUGAAGAAACAAACGGCUGAGCUAGAGAAGAAGGAAAAAGAAAAGAAGCUCUUGGAGAAGAAGAAGUCCAUAUUUCUAGAAUUGACUAUUGACUCGCUUCAAAGAAGCGCUAUAGACGAACCAAACACUCAUUGGCUCGAGCCUGUUAUGUCGUUUGGGCUUGAAAACUCUAAGGAUGCACAGUUUGACAUGCCAAUCACUCGAAAGGGAUUCAUCUUUCACUGUUUCAACUCAACUCUUGUCAUCCCAUCUCCAAAGCCAAAGGUGGAUCGGGAUAAGUUAAAGUUCUAUCUGGAGUUCACACAGCCCCAGUACUUGGCCUGGAGUUCGCAGAAGAUCACAACUGUCAAGGUUCUGAAGCCCUAUUCAGUAGAGAAGUUCGUAAAUGUAAAAUUUAAAGUGACUCGAGGCUCUGAAGGCUUGGUUCACAAUUUCUCUCUUGCUGAUCUACCGAACCUCAACCCCCACGACUGGAUACUCGUCAACAACAUCUUGCUGUUAAAUCCUUAGGAGUAUCAGCCGAUCAUUGAGCAUAUGAAGUGAAUGCUUAUCUGCUACAUUCACGAAGUAGCAAAGAUGGAUCAUGAAAUCGCAUCAACAAUUCACAAGCGAACCACAAUCAAACCAAUGGGAAGAGCUGGCGAUAUUAACUCGAUGGUCAAAGGCAAAAUUGACACAAAGAACCAGACGGCGAUGUUUAUCAGGGGCGAAGGUCAGAAAUGCUUGUACGCUCUUGUUAACAAGCACCUGUUUUCAACCUCUUUCUUAGAGCACAUGUUAGAGAUUAUCUAGAGGUGUAAUCAUAACACAGCAGCUGACAAGAAGAUGUUUACUGGAAGGAAACUCACCUCGGAAAGCUGACUGCUGAAAACCCGAGUGAAAGAUCCCUGACUGUUGUCCCGGCUGCACUCCGGCUAUUAUGACAAUCAAACACUUAAUCAAAAAGGGGAUCUUUCGACGGUUAAAAUGACUAUUUUACCCCUACUAUGGUGUGGGUCAUAAUCAUGGCCCAAACCCUUUAAUUCUUUCUAAGGCCUCCACUGGCCCAUAAUUUGACUCCUACUGGCCCACUAAGGCCCUAGGUACAGAAUACAGUCCACACCGAAGCCCAAUACUCAAGGUCCAACUGACUGUGUUAGGCGGGGCGUACUCCAGAAUACGCUUAGCGUAACGGCUUGAUGGCAAGUACGCUGGGCAUACCUAUACAUACGCUCAGCGUAAUACCCUGAUAAGCUCUUUCUCUAUUAAGUGCUUAAUACUCCGAUUCAGAAGCUACAAUCUUCGAUCCAGGUCUUAUCCCACGUCUUAACCAUAAAGGUACUUACUUGAUGGCUUACAAGACUCCCAUAAGCUCAAACUUCUAAAAUCAACCAUUUAUUUCCAAGAAGGUGGCUAGAUCUCAUGCAUGGCUUCAUAAAAGCCUCAAUGAUCGAAACUUUAUUGCUAUGAAGACACUUUGAGCUUCAAGAAUAGCAAUCCCAAGCUCCAAAACGAAGUUGCAUGAUAAAGGUCCUUCCUUUGGACUUAAAAGGUCGAAACUUCCAAAAACUCCUAGAUCUAAGCUUACAAGAGGAAAGUUGGAAGCUCUAUACCUCUUUUGGAUGCCAAAUGAAGAAAUGAUCCCAGAUCCUUGAGCUCAAGGUACUCAAGUUCUCCUUCUUCCAAUCUUCUUUUCUUCUUCCAAGCUUUUCUUCACAAAAAUGAACCCAAAAGAUCCACCACACACAAACAAAGGGGGUAAGGGACGGACUAGGGUUUUCUGAGAGUGAAGGAUAUGUGAGGAGGCCAAAUAAGAGCCUAUAAUGGGGUUUAAAUAAGUCUUAAACCCUAAAAUUAGGGUUUCUCAACUGGUCGCGUACGUUGGGCGUACCGUAGGGUACGCUGCGUGUACGCCUCUCAUAACUCGCGCAUCCUAGGGACACUACGCCUCGCGUACAACAGGUUACACCCCACGUACAACUUAUGUGCAGCCGACAACGUGGCCCAAGAAUCAAGAAGGCCCAAUCCAAUCCAAGAUGUCCAAUUCCAAACAUAGCCCAACUAAAACUCAAGAAAUAAAAUUAAUUAAUACCUCUAAAGUUGAUCGUUACAUACUUCAAUCCUCAAGCGAUUCAGACUCAGAGUAUGUUCCUCCUAAACACAAAUUUACUGCUCCUUCAGAAUCUGAAGGCAAAACUUCUGAUGAGGAGGCUUCGGGUUGUGGUGAUACGUCGCCUCGCUCGCCUAAACCAGAAAUACCCGUUCGCUCCCAACCCCCUUCUCCUACACCUAUUUCUGUACCAAUCUCCAUCCCUCCAAUUUUUCCCAUCACUACCUCUCAACCAUCAACCACUCUUCCCAUCCCUGAUCCUAUCUUCACAGAAACUACCACUACUACAACCGAACCACCUGUUACAACAGAACCACCGGUUACACCUGAACCUCCUAUCACUACAAAACCCUUAUCACCUACCCAAUCCACUGACACCACCCCAGUUCUUGGCGGUGAGGACUUGGAAUUUGAUUCCACUUAUUUCAGUCCUUACGAUUUUCAAAGUGAUGAAGAUGAAGAUGCUCCUGUCACUAUGCGCCAUCUCAAAGCAGUCAAUGACAAACUUGAUCAACUGCUUUCCUCCUUUUCCACCGGUGUUACUCCGAUGCUGCUUUAAACGCCUUGUUCUCUUCUAUGGUCAAAGAACAUGAUGGUUCCCUAUCUGCUGCAGCAAAGGCCAUUGAUGCCUCUACUUCCCAAUGCCAAAAGGCUUCUCUUGCUGUUGAGGCCUCCACGAAGGAAUGCAAAGAAGCGACCGCAAAAGUCGAUUAACUAAUUUCUGAGGCUCGUGUCUCUUUGGAUUCCUUGCAAGCACCUGCUCAGAAGAAUUCUCAUACCAUGAACGCUUCGGUUGAUAACCUUCAGCGCUCUCUACAAGCUGAAACGUACAAUCUUGAAGUUGAUCGUCAAGCCAUCGAAGCUGCCAAUGCCACUCUACAUGAUAAUGUCAAUGACCGUUUGAUUCAACUGGAGGCAGUGUUGGCUGUGGAAAAUCGUAUCAUGGAUGAACUGGACAAACAAACCUCUCAGCUUUACAUGCAGAACCUCAAGCUUCUCACUGCAACCCUUGAGCUUACCAAUUUGAAAUCUGAACGGGAGGUUAUUUGAAGCGCUGUUGGCGAUGUUCAUUCCAUUUUGCUUCACCUCCUUGAUGCCCAUGAUCCCAUCAUGACCAUUACCAUCUGAAGGAAUUUGGCUGAAAAACUACGACCUACAUUGGACAUCCUUAGUCGCAUUGAGGGUGUUCCGGUGAUUGAGGUCCAGCCGAAACAAGGGGGAGAAAAGGCAGCGAAAACUCAACCUCCUCCUGAAAUGAAACCAACAACUGAACCGAAGGUUAAUGAAGCUUCGUUCAGCAAAAGAGACAAGAAGAAAAAGAAGAUUGGUGAAGAUGACACUGCUAAUGAAGAUGAUGCUUUUGAAGAAAAUCCCGCUAAGCCUUUUUAGAAAACAAAAUCUUAUGAUAAAGAGCUUGAAGAAAAACUCAAGAAACAUACGGCUGAGCUAGAGAAGAAGCAAAAAGAAAAGGUGCUCUUGGAGAAGAAGAAGUCCAUUUUUCCAUAAUUGACUAUUGACUCGCUUCAAAGAAGCGCUAUAGACGAACCAAACACUCAUUGGCUCGAGCCUGUUAUGUCGUUUGGGCUUGAAAACUCUAAGGAUGCACAGUUUGACAUGCCAAUCACUCGAAAGGCAUUCAUCUUUCACUGUUUCAACUCAACUGUUGUCAUCCCAUCUCCAGAGCCGAAGGUGGAUCGGGAUAUGUUAAAGUUCUAUCUGGAGUUCACACAGCCCCAGUACUUGGCCUGGAGUUCGUAGAAGAUCACAACUGUCAAGGUUCUGAAGCCCUAUUCAGCAGGGAAGUUCGUUAAUGUAAAAUUUAAAGUGACUCGAGGCUCUGAAGGCUUGGUUCACAAUUUCUCUCUUGUGUAUCUACCGAACCUCAACCCCCACGACUGGAUACUCGUCAACAACAUCUUGUUAAAUCCUCAAGAGUAUUAGCCGAUCAUUGACCAUAUCAAGCGAAUGCUUGCCUGCUACAUUCACGAAGUAGCGAAGAUGGAUCAUGAAAUCGCAUCAGCAAUUCACAAGCGAACCACAAUCAAACCAAUGGGAGGAGCUGGCGAUAUUAACUCGAUGGUCAAAGGCAAAAUUGACACAAAGAACCAGACUGUGAUGUUUAUCAGGGGCGAAGGUCAGAAAGGCUUGUUCGCUCUUGUUGACAAGCACCUGUUUUCAACCUCUUUCUUGGAGCACAUUUUGGAGAUUAUUUAGAGGUGUAAUCAUAACACAGCAACCGACAAGAAUAUGAUUACUGGAAGGAAACUCACCUCGGAAAGUUGACUGCUAAAAACCCAAGUGAAAGAUCCCUGACUGCUAUCCCGGCUGCUCUCCGGCUAUUAUGACAAUCAAACACUUAAUCAAAAAGGGGAUCUUUCGACGGUUAAAAUGACUAUUUUACUCCUACUAUGGUGUGGGUCAUAAUCAUGGCCCAAACCCUUUAAUUCUUUCUAAGGCCUCCACUGGCCCAUAAUCUGACUCCUACUGGCCCACUAAGGCCCAAGGUACAAAAUACAGUCCACACCGAGGCCCAAUACUCAAGGUCCAACUGACUGUGUGUACGCAGGGCGUACUCCAGAGUACGCUCAGUGAAAUACCCUAAUAAGCUCUUUCUCUAUUAAGUGCUUAACACUCCGAGUCAGAAGCUACAAUCAUCAAUCCAGGUCUUAUCCCACGUCUUAAACCAUAAAGGUACUUACUUGAUGGCUUACAAGACUCCCAUAAGCUCAAACUUCUAAAAACAACCAUUUAUUUCAAAGAAGGUGGCUAGAUCUCAUGCAUGGCUUCAUGAAAGCCUCAAAGAUCGAAACUUUACUGCUAUGGGGAUACUUUUAGCUUCAAUAAUAGCAAUCCUAAGCUCCAAAACGAAGUUGCAUGAUAAAGGUCCUUCCUUUGGACUUAAAAGGUCCAAACUUCCAAAAACUCCUAGAUCUAAGCUUACAAGAGGAAAGUUGGAAGCUUUAUACCUCUUUUAGAUGCCAAACGAAGAAAUGAUCCCAGAUCCUUGAGCUCAAGGUACUCAAGUUCUCGUUCUUCCAAUCUUCUUCUCUUCUUCCAAGCUUAUCUUCACAAAAAUGAACCCAAAAGAUCCACCACACACAAACAAAGGGGGUAAGGGACGAACUAGGGUUUUCUGAGAGUGAAGGAUAUGUGAGGAGGCCAAAUAAGAGCCUAUAAUGGGGUUUAAAUAAGUCUUAAACCCUAAAAUUAGGGUUUCUCAACUGGUCGCGUACGCUGGGCGUACCGUAGGGUACGUUGCGUGUACGCCUCUCAUAACUCGCGCAUCCUAGGGACACUACGCCUCGCGUAGAACGGGUUACACCCCGCGUACAGCUUAUGCGCAGCCGACAACUCGGCCCAAGAAUCAAGAAGGCCCAAUCCAAUCCAAGACGUCCAAUUCCAAACAUAGCCCAACUAAAACUCAAGAAAUAAAAUUAAUUAAUACCUCUAAAGUUGAUCGUUACAUACUUCAAUCCUCAAGCGAUUCAGACUCAGAGUAUGUUCCUCCUAAACACAAAUUUACUGCUCCUUCAGAAUCUGAAGGCAAAACUUCUGAUGAGGAGGCUUCGGGUUGUGGUGAUACCUCGCCUCGCUCGCCUAACCCAUAAAUACCCGUUCGCUCCCAACCCCCUUCUCCUACACCUGUUUCUGUACCAAUCUCCAUCCCUCCAAUUUUUCGCAUCACUACCCCUCAACCAUCAACCACUAUUCCCAUCCCUGAUCCAAUCUUCACAGAAACUACCACUACUACAACCGAACCACCUGUUACAACAGAACCACCGGUUACAACUGAACCUCCUGUCACUACAAAACCCUUAUCACCUACCCAAUCCACUGACACCACCCCAGUUCUUGGCGGUGAGGACUUGGAAUUUGAUUCCACUUAUUUCAGUCCUUACCAUUUUCAAAGUGAUGAAGACGAAGAUGCUCCUGUCACUAAGCGCCAUCUUAAAGCAGUCAAUGACAAACUUGAUCAACUACUUUCCCCCUCUUCCACCGGUCUUACUCCGACGCUGCUUUAAAAGCCUUGUUCUCUUCUAUGGUCAAAGAACAUGAUGCUUCUCUAUCUGCUGCAGCAAAGGCCAUUGAUGCCUCUACUUCCCAAUGCCAAAAGGCUUCUCUUGCUGUUGAGGCCUCCACGAAGGAACACAAAGAAGCGACCGCAAAAGUCGAUAAACUAAUUUAUGAGGUUCGUCUCUUUUUGGAUUCCUUGCAAGCACCUGCUCAGAAGAAUUCUCAGACCAUGAAUGCUUCGGUUGAUAACCUUCAGCGCUCUCUACAAGCUGAAACGUCCAAUCAUGAAGCUGCUCGUCAAGCCAUCGAAGCUGCCAAUGCCACUCUACAUGAUAAUGUCAAUGACCGUUUGACUCAACUGGAGGUAGUGUUGGCUGUGGAAAAUCGUAUCAUGGAUGAACUGGAGAAACAAACCUCUCAGCUUAACAUGCAGAACCUAAAGCUUCGCACUGCAACCCUGGAGCCUAACGAUUUGAAAUCUAAACGGGAGGUUAUUUGAAGCUCUGUUGGCGAUGUUCAUUCCAUUUGGUUCAUCUCCUCGAUGCCCAUGAUCCCAUCAUGACCAUUACCAUCCGAAGGAAUUUGGCUGAAAAACUACGACCUGCAUUGGACAUCCUUAGCCGCAUUGAGGGUGUUCCGGUGACUGAUGUCCAGCCGAAACAAGGGGGAGAAAAGGCAGCGAAAACUCAACCUCCUCCUGAAAUGAAACCAACAACUGAACCGAAGGUUAAUGAAGCUUCGUUCAGCAAAAGAGACAAGAAGAAAAAGAAGAUUGGUGAAGAUGACACUGCUAAUGAAGAUGAUGUUUUUGAAGAAAAUCCCGCUAAGCCUUUUCAGAAAACAAAAUCUUAUGAUAAAGAGCUUGAAGAAAAACUCAAGAAACAUACGGCUGAGCUAGAGAAGAAGCAAAAAGAAAAGGUGCUCUUGGAGAAGAAGAAGUCCAUUUUUCCAUAAUUGACUAUUGACUCGCUUCAAAGAAGCGCUAUAGACGAACCAAACACUCAUUGGCUCGAGCUUGUUAUGUCGUUUGGGCUUGAAAACUCUAAGGAUGCACAGUUUGACAUGCCAAUCACUCGAAAGGCAUUCAUCUUUCACUGUUUCAACUCAACUGUUGUCAUCCCAUCUCCAGAGCCGAAGGUGGAUCGGGAUAUGUUAAAGUUCUAUCUGGAGUUCACACAGCCCCAGUACUUGGCCUGGAGUUCGCAAAAGAUCACAACUGUCAAGGUUCUGAAGCCCUAUUCAGUAGGGAAGUUUGUUAAUGUAAAAUUUAAAUUGAUUCGAGGCUCUGAAGGCUUGGUUCACAAUUUCUCUCUUCCUGAUUUACCGAACCUCAACCCCCACGACUGGAUACUCGUCAACAACAUCUUGCUGUUAAAUCCUCAGGAGUAUCAGCCGAUCAUUGACCAUAUCAAGCGAAUGCUUGCCUGCUACAUUCACGAAGUAGCGAAGAUGGAUCAUGAAAUCGCAUCAGCAAUUUACAAGCAAACCACAAUCAAACCAAUGGGAAGAGCUAGCAAUAUUAACUCGAUGGUCAAAGGCAAAAUUGACACAAAGGGGCGAAGGUCAGAAAUGCUUGUUCGCUCUUGUUGACAAGCACCUAUUUUCAUCCUCUUUCUUGGAGCACAUUUUGGAGAUUAUUUAGAGGUGUAAUCAUAGGACAGUAGCCGACAAGAAGAUGUUUACUGGAAGGAAACUCACCUCGGAAAGCUGGCUGCUAAAAACCCGAGUGAAAGAUCCCUGACUGCUGUCCCGGCUGCUCUCUGGCUAUUAUGACAAUCAAACACUUAAUCAAAAAGGGGAUCUUUCGACGGUUAAAAUGACUAUUUUACUCCUACUAUGGUGUGGGUCAUAAUCAUGGCCCAAACCCUUUAAUUCUUUCUAAGGCCUCCACUGGCCCAUAAUCUGACUCCUACUGGCCCACUAAGGCCCUAGGUACAAAAUACAGUCCACACCGAGGCCCAAUACUCAAGGUCCAACUGACUGUGUUACGCGGGGCGCACUCCAGAGUACGCUUAGCGUAACAGCUUGAUGGCGAGUACGCUGGGCGUACCUAUACGUACGCUCAGUGAAAUACCCUAAUAAGCUCUUUCUCUAUUAAGUGCUUAACACUCCGAGUCAGAAGCUACAAUCUUCGAUCCAGGUCUUAUCCCACGUCUUAAACCAUAAAGGUACUUACUUGAUGGCUUACAAGACUCCCAUAAGCUCAAACUUCUAAAAACAACCAUUUAUUUCAAAGAAGGUGGCUAGAUCUCAUGCAUGGCUUCAUGAAAGCCUCAAAGAUCGAAACUUUACUGCUAUGGGGACACUUUGAGCUUGAAGAAUAGCAAUCCCAAGCUCCAAAAUGAUGUUGCAUGAUAAAGGUCCUUCCUUUGGACUUAAAAGGUCCAAACUUCCAAAAACUCCUAGAUCUAAGCUUACAAGAGGAAAGUUGGAAGCUUUAUACCUCUUUUGCAUGCCAAAUGAACAAAUGAUCCCAGAUCCUUGAGCUCAAGGUACUCAAGUUCUCCUUCUUCCAAUCUUCUUCUCUUCUUCCAAGCUUUUCUUCACAAAAAUGAACCCAAAAGAUCCACCACACACAAACAAUGGGGGUAAGGGAUGAACUAGGGUUUUCUGAGAGCGAAGGAUAUGUGAGGAGGCUAAAUAAGAGCCCAUAAUGGGGUUUAAAUAAGUCUUAAACCCUAAAAUUAGGGUUUCUCAUCUGGUCGCGUACGCUGGGCGUACCUUCGGGUACGCUGCGUGUACGCCUCUCAUAACUCGCGCAUCCUAGGGACACUACGCCUCGCGUACAACGGGUUACACCCCGCGUACAGCUUAUGCGCAGCCUACAACACGGCCCAAAAAUCAAGAAGGCCCAAUCCAAUCCAAGAUGUCCAAUUCCAAACAUAGCCCAACUAAAACUCAAGAAAUAAAAUUAAUUAAUACCUCUAAAGUUGAUCAUUACAUACUUCAAUCCUCAAGCGAUUCAGACUCAGAGUAUGUUCCUCCUAAACACAAAUUUACUGCUCCUUCAGAAUCUGAUGGCAAAAGUUCUGAUGAGGAGGCCUUGGGUUGUGGUGAUACCUCGCCUCGCUCGCCUAACCCAGAAAUACCCGUUCGCUCCCAACCCCCUUCUCCUACACCUGUUUCUGUACCAAUCUCCAUCCCUCCAAUUUUUCCCAUCACUACCUCUCAACCAUCAACCACUAUUCCCAUCCCUGAUCCAAUCUUCAUAGAAACUACCACUACUACAACCGAACCACCUGUUACAACCGAACCACCGGUUACAACCGGACCUCCUGUCACUACAAAACCCUUAUCACCUACCCUAUCCACUGACACCACGCCAGUUCUUGGGGGUGAGGACGUGGAAUUUGAUUCCACUUAUUUCAGUCCUUACCAUUUUCAAAGUGAUGAAGACGAAGAUGCUCCUGUCACCAAGCGCCAUCUCAAAGCAGUCAAUGACAAACUUGAUCAACUGCUUUCCUCCUCUUCCACCGGUGCUUACUCCGACGCUGCUUUAAAAGCCUUGUUCUCUUCUAUGGUCAAAGAACAUGAUGCUACCCUAUCUGCUGCAGCAAAGGACAUUGAUGCCUCUACUUCCCAAUACCAAAAGGCUUCUCUUGCUGUUGAGGCCUCCGCGAAGGAAUGCAAAGAAGCGACCGCAAAAGUUGAUAAACUAAUUUCUGAGGCUCGUCUCUUUUCGGAUUCCUUGCAAGCACCUGCUCAGAAGAAUUCUCAGACCAUGAACGCUUCGGUUGAUAACCUUCGGCGCUCUCUGCAAGCUGAAAGGUCCAAUCUUGAAGCUGCUCGUCAAGCCAUCGAAGCUGCCUAUGCCACUCUAUAUGAUAAUGUCAACGACCGUUUGACUCAACUGGAGGUAGAGUUGGCUGUGGAAAAUCGUAUCACGGAUGAACUAGACAAACGAACCUCUCAGCUUAACAUGCAGAAUCUCAAGCUUCGCACUGCAACCCUUGAGCUUACCAAUUUGAAAUCUGAACGGGAGAUUAUUUGAAGCGCUGUUGGCAAUUUUCAUUCCAGUUUUCUUCACCUCCUUAAUACCCAUCAUCCCAUCAUGACCAUUACCAUCCGAAGGAAUUUGGCUGAAAAACUACGACCUGCAUUGGACAUCCUUAGUCGCAUUGAGGGUGUUCUGGUGACUGAGGUCCAGCCGAAACAAGGGGGAGAAAAGGCAGCGAAAACUCAACCUCCUCCUGAAAUGAAACCAACAACUGAACCAAAGGUUAAUGAAGCUUUGGUCAGUAAAAGAGACAAGAAGAAAAAGAAGAUUGGUGAAGAUGACACUGCUGAUGAAGAUGAUGUUUUUGAAGAAAAUCCCGCUGAUCCUUUUCAGAAAACAAAAUAUUAUGAUAAAGAGCUUGAAGAAACACUCAAGAAACAAACGGUUGAGCUAGAGAAGAAGCAAAAAGAAAAGGAGCUCUUGGAGAAGAAGAAGUCCAUUUUUCCAGAAUUGACUAUUGACUCGCUUCAAAGAAGCGCUAUAGACGAACCAAGCACUCAUUGGCUCGAGCCUGUUAUAUCGUUUGGGCUUGAAAACUCCAAGGAUGCACAGUUUGACAUGCCAAUCACUCGAAAGGCAUUCAUCUGUCACUGUUUCAACUCAAUUGUUGUCAUCCCAUCUCCAGAGCCGAAGUUGGAUCAGGAUUUGUUAAAGUUCUAUCUGGAGUUCACACAGCCCCAGUACUUGGCCUGGAGUUUGCAAAAGAUCACAACUGUCAAGGUUCUGAAGCCCUAUUCAGCAGGGAAGUUCGUUAAUGUAAAAUUUAAAGUGACUCGAGGCUAUGAACGCUUGGUUCACAAUUUCUCGUCAACAAUAUCUUGCUGUUAAAUCCUCAGGAGUAUCAGCCGAUCAUUGACCAUAUCAAGUGAAUGCUUGCCUGCUACAUUCACGAAGUAGCGAAGAUGGAUCAAGAAAUCGCAUCAGCAAUUCACAACCGAACCACAAUCAAACCAAUGGGAAGAGCUGGCGAUAUUAACUCGAUGGUCAAAGGCAAAAUUGACACAAAGACCUAGACUGUGAUGUUUAUCAGGGGCGAAGGUCAGAAAUGCUUGUUCGCUCUUGUUGACAAGCACCUGUUUUCAACCUCUUUCUUGGAGCACAUUUUGGAGAUUAUUUAGAGGUGUAAUCAUAACACAACAGCCGACAAGAAGAUGUUUACUAAUAUGAUGAGAUGGUACCAUCAAUUUCGGCAGACACUUGUUGCAAUCAUCCCUCGGUUGUUCAAGGUGGUGAAGACUGUGAAGCCAACUCAGAAGAAACAAUCUCUCACCUCAUUUGACACAAAGGGGGAGAUUGUUGGGUUUGGUGUGUUGCGUCAUGGGCUCGGUCCUUAGCCCAGUUUUGAUAUCCGGUUUGGGCCUAUCCAACCGUGAUUAUUUUACUCUAGGGUUUAGUAUUUAAGGUGCAUGCAUGAAUCCUUUGUAAAAAAACGCUUUUGAUUGUCUUUCUCGUUAAGUUUUGUAAACCCUAGCUCGCCUCUACAGUGGAAGUUCUUCAUUGAGCUCUACUGAGGCGUGACUAUAUUUGAAUCAUAAGCAUUACGUUGAUUCUAUACUGUGUUAAUAAUAUUAUUUUGUUUGAAUUGUUUGCUCUUCAUCUUUUUACCUGUGAAAGAUCUAAUCGAUCUGAGAUUUAUUCUCAUCAACGAUCACUGACUGAUCCAACAUCGGUCUGCACACCCGGUUCAUGAGAUCCAUAAACACUGUCGGGGCAUUGGUGAGCUCAAAUGGCAUCACCACAAACUCAUAAUGCCCAUAACGAGUCCUGAAAGCUGUAUUCGAUAUUUCCUCAUCCCUAAUCCUCAUCUGAUGAUACCCAGACCGAAGAUCAAUCUUGGAGAACCAAGAUGCACCCUGAAGCCGAUCAAAUAAAUCAUCGAUCCGUGGCAAAGGAUAGCGGUUUUUCACGGUCAGCUUGUUCAGCUCCUUAUAAUCAAUGCACAUCCUGUGCGAUCUGUCCUUCUUUUUCAAGAAAAAGAUCGGUGCUCCCCAUGGAGAACUGAUCAGAUGGAUGAACCCUCGGUCUAGCAGCUCUUGAAGCUGCGUAGAUAACUUAUGCAUCUCUGGUGGGGCCAACCAAUACGGUGCCUUGGAUAUCGGAGCGGCACCCGGCUCCAAAUUGAUGCGAAACCCCACCUGCCUCACCAGAGGCACCCCGGUAACUCUUCGGGAAAAACGUCCCAAAAAUCAUGUACUAUUGGCACACUAUCAAUAUCCGUUACCGCCUCUAUGCGCGUAUCCGAAAAAUAAGCCAAAAUUCUAGUGCAGCGCUGCUGCAAAAACCUCCUAUCCCUCGUGGCUAAACAGAGGGUCGGGCCCUACGAGGCCUUCUCACCCUGAAUAACCAACUCCCCCCCCCUUGGGGUUCAAACCCGGACCAAGUGCCGCUCACAAUCGAUCAUGGCCCCGUUGGCCCCCAGCCAAUACAUCCCAAUGAUCACCUUCAAUCCUCGCAAUGGUAUGGGAAAUAAAUCAACACGAAACCUCUCGCCAUGCACAUUCAGGACACGGUCCUGAUAUACCCUCGCAACAAUCACAGUGCAAUCAUUUGUGAUCUCCACCUUGAGCGGGGUAUCCAGAAUCCCCGGCGCGUCUCGGAACUUCUUGCUAAGCGCAAGAGACACGAACGAUCAGGUAGCACCCGAAUCAAAAAAAAAACAUGAGCCGACAUACCAUUGACCAAAAAGGUCCCUAUACAAAACAUAAUACAUACAUAUAAGAAUUUAACAAAGAUAAGGCAAAGAAGAAUAAACACAUACCAGCCACGACGUUUGGCGCUGUCCGAGCCUCCUCGGUAGUCAGCUGAAAUGCAUGGCUUUUCACCACUAGAGCUUCUUCCUUGACAGGGCGGCCGUCAGUAAUCCUCACAGUGACGGGCACGGGCGCUGCCACUGAUCCUCCUCCUCCUCCCUGCAACCUUGGACAAUUGUCCUUUUUAUGGCCUGUAUGGUUGCAGUGAAAACAUUUCAAGCCCUUCUUGGGGCAAUCCUUACUCAUGUGGCCCUGUUGACCACCUGAGUAACAUCAUGAUAUACCAGUUGUGCGAAAAGCCCCACUAUGAAACCUCCUGCACUUGGCACACCGGCCCCGACCCUGCUGGCCCCUACCUAAAGAAUCAGAGGUCUUAGGCUUCUUAGCCUGAGCCCCUGCAGCCCAUACCUGCUCAGUCUUCCACUUCGUGUGGGACUCCAACUCCAUCUCCCUCUCACGGGCUUUCUUCACCAUCUCGUUGAGGGUUUUGCACCCUGUAAAGCUCACAAAAUCCCGAAUAUCAUCCCUCAGCAUACCAUGAUAUCGGUUCCGCCUCAUCUCCUCAUCCAUAACAUACUGAGGAAUCAACAAAGCUCGCUCUCAAACAUGGCAGUGAUCUCUGCCACCGUCAUGGUGGUCUGCUGCAGCCCAUGAAACUCCCUCACCAACCGUUGCACCUCAAUAGGCGGUGCAAUCUCCAUAUCGAAAUAUUAAACAAACUCAGCCCAUGACAUCUCAGCCACACCGGCUGCUCCCACCUGGCUAGUAACCUCGCCCCACCAAUCUCUGGCCCUGUCCCUCAGCAUUCAAGAAGCAAAUCCAACCUUUGCCUCCUCUAGGAAAGAACUCGUGCGCUGGGCAUUCUCAAUGUCUGCUACCCAACAUCUGCUCACAAUGGGGUGCCUGACCCUAGAGAACUUUCGAGCUCCACACGCCUUGAACUCUCGGAACGGGGGGAGUUCGGGCUCCACCUUGACCCGCAAAAACAUCAGCCCUGAGUGCCCUAAGUCUCUCCUUCAUGAUCUCCAUCAUACCCUCCUUGACCGUCCCAAAGAUGACUGGGGUAGUGUCAAGGAUGCCCCUUGUAACCUCGGCCACAAUCAACUCACGCAACCUCUCAUCAAUACCAUCAGUAGUGCAACCUAACCCAGCCCCGGACCCAGAUCCCGAUCCUGAUCCCCCUGCUCCCAACCUUGUCAUCACCAUGCUGAACUAAAAUACCAAAACAUAAUGAUUAGGAUACCUAUAACGAGGGUUCUUCCAUACUGGUUUCCCUCCCCUUUGGAACCCCAGGUAAAACAUGGUUUUGGGUACAGGUCAUGUGCUUCUAGUAGUACGGGCCCAAUACUGCCUUCCACACCUACCAGUACCUUUCCCCCACUACUCAACCUAAUGAAUCCAAUACAACCAAACACAAUACCAUAUCCCACAACUUCCACACAAAACAACUCCUGGGCUGCCCUAUGAUUUGUCCUACCCAUGACAACCAAACCAAUCACAACAGGCUACUUUUAUGCAUGCAACUUCUACACAGAAAGGAUUAAACAGACUUUCGAAUAAGAGAUUCUGCCCUAAAACCACAUCCAAACAAGGAAAAGAAAAUAAGUACAAAUCAAUCAUUUUGAGGCUAUAAGCUCCUAACCGUAUAAAAUUUCUUAAAACAAACACUUAGCAAAUUCCAUAUAAUCAACAAAGCUCAAUAUCAGUAUAAUAUGGCUAUUCAAAUUGGGGAAACUACUUACUUGGCUCAGCUGAUCACGCGUGUCGCACUCUCAUCUUUUGGGUUUCUUUUAAAUCCUUUUUAGGUUACUUUUUGAAAACAUUUUAUCACCUCCUUAGUUUGAGUGCUGACACACCCGAUGAUGUGACUGAAUCCCUCAAACCAAGGCUCUAAUACCAACUUGUAACGACCCAAUUUUUUUACAAAGAAAAUUUUCAUUUUUAGUUAAUCAAAACCAAUUUCAUAAACCAUAAAUUCCCAAAACAUUUGUUUUCAAAUCAACAUUCAUUACAUCAUUGUUUUCCUUUUUAAAAACAUCAGAGGGUCCCAAACACACUAAAAAGAGAGAUAAAGUGCACGCCAUUUCAUCACGCCUUGCCCUUGUCCUUGGGCUCAGAAGUACCUGUAACAAAUCAACAACCUGUAAGUGAAAUGCUUAGCGAGUUUCCAAGAGCAUACCACACACAUUCACAUACACAUAUCCUGCUAGCUAAUAAAGCUAUAAUCAUGCCACAGAAACCAUGCAAUACGAUUCAACAAGAAUGUCAUGGCUACCCCACAUGGUCUUUACGUAGGACUGCCAUGGGCUACCGCACAUGGCCUUACAUCCAAUGUCAUGGGCUACCCCACAUGGUCUUUACCUAGGAAUGCCAUGGGCUACCCCACAUGGUCUUAUAUCCAAUUCCAUGGGCACCCCCCGAGGUCUUCCAUACCAACAUAAUAUCACAUAACAUAUCAAUUCAUAAAUGAAUAACACACACGUAACAUGUUCACAUAAUGGGCCGGUCUUGGUGCCGUAGACCCAUAGGUAUGGUGAAAAGAGUCACCUCCGUCCGAUGAAUACGAAUACUGUCCUCCUAAUAAUAUGCAACCUCCCGAGCAGUAUAAUAACAAUAAUAAUAUAAUCAAUGAUAUGACCUUAUAUUACCCAAGGAAAGACCCAACCUUCAAACUCUACCCCAAGGCCCAAUUACCCUUUUCUUGCAAAUGGGCCCCAAAGUCCAAGUCCAAUAUCGUUAAUGGGCCCCUUGGCCCAAUAAGGCCCAACCGAUAAGUCCAUAACCCAAACAGAUGAAAAGGCAUCUAACUUACAGAAUCCAAUCAAGCACAACAACCAAAUGAGGCCCAAUGGCCUAAAACAGCUUAGGGCCCAACUGAGCUGCGUACUCCCAGUAUACUACCCUGGUGCGCGCAGCGUACUGAAGGUUUAGGGACUAUGCGCCGCUUACAACCAGUUACGCCCAGAGCACAACCAUUUUAACCACUCUUUCCAUUAAGUGCUUAAUGCUCGAAUCCUUCACAUCUAAAAGCUAGAUCUAAGUCUGAAAAGAUGUCCUGAGGCAUAAAGUUGGCAACUUUAUGCCCUUGCAUGUCUCAUGCACACCCGACUACUCCAUUAAGACCUUUCCAAGGUCUUUUAGCCAUGCAUGAGGUCAAAUCUCUCAUCAAGCUUCCAUUUUUAUACUUCUAAAUGAGUAGGGGACCUCAAAUCUGCCUUUCAUAUCAAUUAGGGAGGCUUAGCUCAACAAAAGAGGUCCAAAGUUCAUCAAAGGGAAAAACCACCAAAACCUUAGCUAGAUCUAAAGAUUAGAAAGGAAAGAUGCAAGCUUUUUACCUCCAAAAGCUUUGCAAGAUGAUUUUGGUGCAGGAUCUUGAAGCACCCACUUGAUCCAAGCUUGCCUGACCACCCCUUCUUCUUGAAAUACACACUAAAAGGCCACAAAUGCACUCUUUGAGGCUCAAGAAUGAUCUCACAAGGUUUCCAGGAGUAUAUCGACGUUCUAAGGCUGUGGAGGCUCUCUAGGGUGCAGUCCAAGGGACUUAAAAUUGUUUAAAUAGGCCUCAUGUCCGAAAUUUAGGGUCUUGCGUCCCUGGCACGUACGCCCCGCAUAAUUCAAGGUACGCCCAGCGUACUUUGAUUCCUCCGCGACCACUUCGAUGCACUAUGCUAAGCGUACACUUAAAUACGUACCUCAUACUUAAGGGACCAUUUAUGCAAAAAUUAUCAUUCCUUAGGGUUUCAAGACAUACCAGAAUUUUCGAUGUUACAAUUUUGAACAUCUUUCAUGUUUAUGACAAAUUCUGAAUCUUAGUUGCCAUGUUGUAGAAAAGCCAUCUCCACAGCGUGGCAAAUCCAGUUUUUACGGGGACGUGAAAAUUCCAUCUCCCACGGCAUGGCAAGUUGUUGGCCACGCCCUGGAGCCAAAAAAAUCUAUAAAAAAAUACCAGAUUUACAACCAUAAUCGGUGUGAGGGAUUUGGCAGCCCACAGGUGCGAGUUGUACUUCGUUUUGAAGUCCAGAAACCCUCUGAGGGUCGACUUUGAAGAUAGUGAGUUGGUUGGAUCAAGGAUUUGAAGAUUCAAGUGCUAAUAAAUCAUGAUUUCACUUCGGGUUUGCUUGAUGAUUUUGCUAAUACAUCAAGAUAUUUUUCUUUUAGUUUACUAAUUAUGGUGUAAAAACCUUUACUUUCACUAGAUAUUGAUGAACCCUUAUUGAUAUGAUUUGAUUUUGUUAUUUAUGAAUUAACUAAUUUUGGUUUUUACUUGUGUUUGAUAGAUCAUCAACCUAAUACGUUAAAGCUCUAAUUUUUAUCUCUUAUUUGUAAGUUAUAUGUAGUUAGAUAACCAUUCCAAUUGCAUAAACUUGAUAUUUAUCUAUUUACGAUCAUUGAAUAGUUAGAUCUAGUGAUUGAAGAAAUCCUAGGGUUAGGUAAUAUUAUUUAGUAACUUUGACUAUGUUAGAAAGGUAAUCAUAGAUAGGUAAUCAUAAGAUCUUAUCAUUCGUAGUUAAAAUAAUCUUUCAAAUCAAUUUAGAGUUAAUCUUGUGCUACACCAUUGUAUUGUAGUUCAUGAAUUAGUAAACACUAGGAGUCGGAAGAUGAUAACUAGUAAUAUUACAAUUUGGUAUUCAACUCAUUAAUCCAUUUCACUUCUAAUAAAUCAAACAUAUAAACUUAAGGGAUUCAUAUUCUAGUGGAGGUACUUCUUAUCUUUUGUUUUAAUUUAGUUAUUUACUUCAUUUGAUUAAUAAAGCAUUAAAACUUGUUUAAUUUCGUUUACACAAAAACCUCAUCUUUACUUUUCUAUUAUUAUUAAAAUUAACAUUUGAAUUAUUUGAUCUAAACCAUUACCGUUUACUGUAUUCGACACCCUUUUGUUACCUUAAACUAUAUUUCUUCAUGUCUAGGUGCACUACCUAUUUGUGUUUAAGACUAGUUGAGAUUAGAUAGUACUUUAUAAAUAAAAAAAAUUAGUACAUAAAUAACACAUCAGUGUGUUCCUCAUCUUUCAACAUAUUUUCUCAUCUUCUCCUAUUCCAACACCGUUUCCAACCAAUUUUCUUCCAACUCAUUAUACCUGCAAAAUGAAAAUUACAAACAUUAUAAGCACAUUUUAUCCUAAUUUGCAUCAAUAUAUAACAUAUAUGUAUAUGAUAUUGUAUAAAAUCACUAUGUAAAAUAGGCAAUAUCAAAAUACCCCACAAUUAGACUUUGCUUGUCCUCAAGCAAACUAGAAUCAAUUUAUUCCAUAAUCAGUACUCAAUUUCAAAAUUACUUCAAGUGUCUGUUACUAUACUUUACCAAACAAUUCAAUUUAAUGCCACUAAUUACAGUUAGAAUUAUAUGCAUAUCUAUGUUCUAAUCCUAAUAACUUUCCAAGCCUCAAAGACUCACAUUGUUCAUAAAUGUGCACCAGUCAUUUUGAAAAAUUCUCACUUCUACAUCACCUCGAAAUAUAACCUUCAAAAACUCCUUAACCUCAUAAUAUGUUUGAUAAAAUCCCAAAUCUCCUAGACUCAAAAGAAAAUGAAAAUAACAUAGAAAAUUAAAAAUCCAAAUUUUUUGACUUUUUCCAAACUUUUGGUAUUUUCCUUAUUUCCUUGAUUUUUUCGAUUUUAUUUUCUUUAUUCUUUAUUGACUUUUAUUUGACUCUUUUUGUGUUUUUUUUCUUUUCAAAACUCACCUUUUUGCACUCUUAUCGUUUCACACAUAGCUAUAAAUAAAUAUAAUUAAUAACAAAUGGGGAGCCCAUGUCUUUUGAUGAAACCCUUUUAGCGGAGUAAUUCCUCAAUCUAAUCAGCGUCAAUAGCCUAAGAACUUAACUUAUGUAGCGUCCCAAAACUCAUAGAAAAAUAACCUAAGAACUAUAAUGAAUAAUAGGUAACCAAAAACAAUAGCCUAAGAGCUUAACUUAAGUAACGUCCCAAAACUCAUAGAAAAAUUUUCAUUGAUAAGUAGGAAAAACAUUCAAUACAUAUAUCAUAAAGGAUCAUCAAAGUCAAUCAAUGUUUCAAAAAGAACAUCAGAGUAUCAUCAAAUCAUAAGCGUGAAAUCUCCAGUGGAUGCAAUGCAUUCAUGCUAGACCCUUCCCUUUCAAAUUAAAAGUACUUGAAAAUGUUAAACCAUAAAAUUGUAAGCAUGAAGCUUAACGUAUUCCCCAAAAUACCACAAACCAAAUAAAUGGGCCCAGCCCAACACUGAAACAUCCCAAAAUUUUCAAUAAAUUUGAACUUUUUAAAACAACAUAAAUCAUCCAUUUAUUAUAUUUUAUUCAAAACAAAUGAAAUACCAAACCCCAAGAUCAAUUCUGUUUUUAAACAUUAUUAGUUAUAAUUCUAAAAUUUAUGAAAAGACAACAAAUUCAAUAUUAAUUUCAGAAACCCACCUCAAGCCAGUGUGUACAAUCAUGCUCGACCAUCCUGUGUACCUGAAAUAGUAUUUUUAAGAGAAAAAGGGUAAGCACAAAUCUUAGUGAAUUCUACACAUACACAAUAUCAUAUCAUAUCAUAUAAUCCUUACCCCUAUACACGAAUGCAAUCGACAUCAAAACACAAAAUCGCGCUUGCAUGUCAAAGAGCGAAUCAGUAACAGACAUGCUCCUACUGGGACACAUUGGCUAGGCCCGAUCCCCAUUGCUCAGUACAUUGAUCCCUUGCGACAUAUUGGCUAAACCCGAUCCCCCGUACCCGAACCUAUUGGGACACAUUAGCCAUGCCCGAUCCCCCUUAAUCAGUUCGUCGAGCCUUUGGGACACAUUGCCUAUGCCCGAUCCCCACUCGGAUGUGCCGAGUCCUACCAUGCAUAAUCCUCAAUAUGUGAGGCAAACCACUAGCCUCUACCCCGCCUACUAAUACCCACAUACAUAAUACGAUACAUAACACACACGAGCUAAUGUAAAGAAGAGAUAACACAACAUGGUAUAGUGAGGAACUCACCUCAAAGAAAAAAGCAGCCUCCAAAGCAACCCAAAACUCACUCACACCUGCUUUCCCUUCAUACUUCCUUAUAAUAAUAACAAAUAGAGUUAUUUUUAGUUAUUAAAUUGCCUUAAUUAUGAAUACAACUAAUGGGCAAAUUUUCCAGGUUUCUACAUAAAAAUUAGGGUCUGUUCGGGAACUAUUUUACCACUCUUAAACAACUUAUUUUUCAAACUGUUUUACAUGCAUUAAGUUCAGGUUAUUAGAUUUAAAAGUGGUAUUUUCAAACAUCUGUAUGAUUUUUCUACAAUUUUUGGCGAUUUUUAAAAAAACUGCCUCGCAAAACAGUUCAUUACGGACCAGUUUAGGUAAAUGGUCCAUUUCACCUUAGUUAGAAGGGUUUAUGGAAUUCAGUCAAAACUAAUGAUUUGUAGAGGACUCAAAAGUAAAACUCUGGGCUUUGUUUUCGACUAAAAAGAGUUUUCCAUGACCGAGAUAUGAAAUAUCAAAUUUCUGGACAGAUUAGGGCAUUUCCAGGAAUUCACAACUUUGGCUUUUUAAGGUUAAUUUGACAUCUUAACCCAUUAAGACCUAUCCAAUGAGGCUUAACAUCAGUCAAAUGAGUUCAUAAUAGUAGAGUACUUCAUUGAUACAGAAUUCAACGAAAAUCUCAACCCCUUUUCUUGAGAUUUCUUGCUUAAACAUCAAGAUAAGUACAAUGCUUUAAUGGUAAGAAAACCAACUAGGAUUUACGGUUUGGGACCAAAACAUCGCAUGUCACCACUUAGACCUCAAACCACCUUGAAGCAUCACUACCCACUACCAUGGUGGUAGUGGUUGCCCACAGUGGCUGCUACCACCUUGGCGGUGGUGGUGGUGGUGAAGAUUUCUCUUAAAGGAAGAAGAAGGAUUAAAUUGAUUAGAACUUACUUGGAUGAGAACCAACCCCAUCGAACCACCCUUAUCUUCUCCAAUAUAGAUAUCAGCCUCCCCUCUUCUCCCUUUCUUCUUUUAUGGUUGGCAGCCUUUCGUUCGUUCAUUUCUCUCUUUUGCGCCGCAAGAUACACAUACACACACUUCACGUAUUUUUUUUUUCGUUUAGGUAGGUUUAGGGCUAAAAAUGGGCACGAGGCUUAAAAAAAGAGUUGGAUCAUGAAUGGCUAAAAGCAUCAUCUCGUAAAAAAAAUAUGAUUUUAAAUUCGUAUUUCUAGUUUAGCCCCUAAAGUUUUCCAUAAUGACAGUUUUGGUCCCUCUAAACAAUUAUCUUUGCGACAAAAGAUUUUCAAAGCUGUCAAAUUCAGUCCCUUCUUUAGAAAAUAGUUAUAAUACAUUUGUAAACAUGAUCUUAUUAUUAUUAUUAUUAUUAUUAUUAUUAUUAUUAUUAUUAUUAUUAUUAUUAUUUUUAUUAUUUUGUAUUUAUACUUAUUUUCCAUUAUAAAUUAAUUAAACGGAAAACAAGGUGUUACAACUCUCCCCCACUAGAAGCAGACUUCGUCCUUGAAGUCAUGGUUAACAAUCAACUAUUGGUAAAUCGCUUGUCUUUCCUUUCUAGCUCCCCGAUGCUGCUACUAAACUUCUACUAACCCGGCCUCUUUAUUCUGUAGAAUAUUUUCCUUCCUCUCCAGAAUAACCACCGUCCUUCCAUCAUAAUUUAGUCGCAUGAACGUUUGAAUUCCUUUAAGUGAAACCACUGCUGUGUUAUUCACGAUACAUUUCUGAAGUUGAGACACAUAACAAAAUGUUGUGAAUCCACCUCCAGUCACCUGACAGUUCUAAUAGAUAUGAUACCCUUUUCACUCGAACAAAACCUUGUAUGGACUAUGCAUCAACCUCCAAAGUUCCUUCUCUUACGAAACCGUAUCACUCAUGUCCAUGGCGUGCUCAUAUGUCGACUUUUUGUGGUAACCAAUCGUUACCGCUCCAUAUACACCAACUCGUUCAUUUUAAGCAUAAUUAUCUAUGUGCCCAUCGCUCGAUGCCCAAGCUCGCCGAAUACAUAGGCAUCAUGCACUUCUUAUCACAACAUAAAAUGAAUGACGACAUGCCAAUACAAGAGUAGAAGUUGUGCUAAUUCGCAACUGAGUACCCAUUACCUUUUGAAACAUUCACUCAAAAUCGAGGCGUAAUUCAUAUGUCUUUUUUUAGAGACCAUAUAAAUGAGCAUCUCGUUCUGGAUACGACAUCCCAAGCGUAGUUAUUUUCUUGCUACCCCCAGUAUAUGAACACAGACUUAAUCAACAUGUUAAAUAACCCCAACUAUUUGGAUUAACAUUCAAAAUACUGAUUUAAAAUCUCCUUCAUUUGGCAUUCUCAUCCAAAAACUUCACUUCAUGUACCUUUUCAUCAGCUUCGAUAACAGUACCAUUCGUAGACAGCACUCCCAGAGUGGCUCGUUAGCCAAAUUUUGAGUAAGAGCAUCAACAAAUACAUUUGAUUUACCAAGAUAGUAAGGUAUCUUGCCAUCAAAAUCCCAAACUAUGCCUCGCAAUAUUGUCAAACUCCUUGCAAAGCUCCCAUAAGUUUAAAACAUAUGAUCUGAAACUUCUAAUACCGACCCUCCUAGACUAGCGAUCAUUCCUACUUCUUCAGACAUGAAACCGAGUAAGAUCUUAACAAGGAAAUCUACCACUCCUAAAUGAAGCAAUAUCUUGAUCAGCACCUCCUCAACAUCUCACUAGGGUAAUGGUUUAGACACACAUCCAUACAACUAUAGCACUCUAGUUGUCUUCCGAACAAAUCAAUACUUUCAACUACAAGAAUGAAAUUAAAUAGCGAUCUUCCAUCGGUGCACCCAAAUCACACUGUUACAUUGUUUAUCUUCAUACCCAAGGUCUUGUACUUUGUAUCGAAUGGUACGCCAUGUUACCCUCAUCAAUUAGUUACCAAACAAUCAGGGUAACUAGUCUAACAUGUAUACAAUACCAACCAAUUGUAUGACCGUAACCAACCAUUAUGGUUUAUAGGCAUGUAAUCAUCAUUCUACAAACUUGUAGGUUUCCAAUUACCAUUCCUUCAUCUCACAACAAAACACCAUUCUUACUGUCAUCCCCACUGGCCUACAGGUAUAAUACCAUCAUCCCACAACCCAUAAUAAUAAUAGCUAAGAACAAAAUAAAGUACUGAACCCUAGGAAGCUAGACAAUACUAUUCGGUUUCCGGACCACGCAUGUAAUCUCGAAGUAUUUAUCGGACAAGAACAACGAGGGGACUCUCACCACGACCCUAAACCAGAGCUAAUUGUUGGGUCAAUUAGAAAAGAAAACUAUAAACCAAGGGGGAGAUUGUUGGGUCAAAAAUAUGGUUUAUACUUUUCUUUUCUAAGCAUUUACUGUUUUUAUUAUUUGGGCCGUAAACAUCAUACAAAUUCAUCCUUAUUCCAUCGUGUCCCAAUCAUAUCUCCUCCAUGCGAUGUGCAAGGUAUCAAAUCAAUCUUGUGCAUGGGCCCUUAUUGUGAAACUGUUGUUGCAACUCGCCACGUCUAACAUCUUUGUACGAGUGUUUCCACUUCAACAACUGGAUCGAUCUAGUCGUUAGCUAGAAUAUGAUGUAUCUAAUUUGGGUCUCGCUUGAACAACCGCAUAGUCUCAAGGACUCUUGCAUCCAUCACUCAUGGAUCAUACUGGAGCAUCUUACAAAUAUCAACACUUGGCACCAUUCUACAUGACUUUUCCAAAUAAGUGAUAAACUUAUAGCAAUUGGAUCAUAUUGUAUAGUCGCAUUGAACUCAAGGGAUAUCUACUUAUAAAUAGUCUCUUGAACAUGAAAAACAUUCCUCCGUCUAUGACAUGUAAAUAAUUUAAUACAUAUGACUAUUAUCUAAAUACACAUGUCAUACACUACUCUAGUUGAGCAGUCAACCUAAUAUCAUCAUAAAAAUCACAAUCCAAUGAAUGUGCAACAUCCAUAUCGUUAUCUAAAAUAUCACCCAAUCUAGUAUUGUAUGCAUUUCACUGAAUAAAUGGUAAUGUCCAUAGAAAAUGAAGAUAAUAAUAUGUUAGGUAGUAAUCUGGAAUUUGAGCCUAAGCCAGUUGUCGCCUCCUUGGUGUAUUACGUAUUGCGAAUUGGUAGGACACUUUCAAAUAUAUCAAGGAUUUCGUUUUCUGCUUAAACAAAAACUUUCAAAUAUAUCAAGGAUUUAGUUUUCUGCUCAAAUAUCAUGAUAUGUCUUGGUGUACUACGUAUUGCAAAUUGGUAGGACACACUAUGAUAAAAGCAUUCCAAAUUCGUAAGCCAAAACGGCACAUAAUCAUAAUACAAUAAAUUUCAAACCAAAACCAUUCAUUGUUCAAUGAACUCAUCGUGCCUAUGAAGGUGGCACAACACAUAUGUCGUGAUUGUGGUUGGUCCCUAGUAGUUGUUUUUAUAGGAAAUCAACCUUAAAUCGUUCAAGGAUUUUCAUAUUAGAGGCAUACACAAGUAAUAUGUAUCAUCAAUUUAAUGAAACAAAGCCUAAAUGUACAAAAAUUAGAUUAAAAUCCUAGACUUUUCAAUUUAUUACCAUUUGCCAAAAUACAUUGAUAAGCUUUUGAUGCAUGCAUAAGGGUUGUAAAACUCAUUCCUUUGAUAUCGAUCAAGGGUGAAAACUAGAGUGAAAUCAAAGAAUUCCUUGAAACCCACAUGAGCUCCAUUUGGGUGAAAAGAUGUGUGAAAAAGUAAAUUAUGUCUACUGAUAUUACGUGAUGCAUAUAGACGCGUCACAUUGAUGGAAUAAGCAUGGCAUGCUCAACAUUUAUAGCGUUUUUCAUUCACAACCAUUUCCCUAGACACAUCACUCUUAUUCCGGGAGCGCGUCACACUUGUCAUAAAUUUUCGAAGUCUAUAAUUUCUCAAAUCUGGUCGGUCGGGUAUAAAUUCUCACUAAAAUUAUUUAAUACCUGCACAAAAUAACAACAAAUACGCUUUGUGAUGUACCUUCCCAAAUUUCAAAUAAAAAUUUUCAUUUUAAAAUAAAGGCUAUGGUUGGGUUUUCUUAAGUCCAUGAACAAAGUUAUGAUCUUUAGAGAGCUUAUUGGACUUAGGGUUUAAGAUAUUGCAUUUUGGAGAUGUAUAAAUGGAUAAAGUUGGAAAUUUUAUCCAUUAAGUCCCCUGUGAGAUUUAGACAUGAAGUUAUAAUCCUUAAUUUGGAAGGAUUAAGUGUUUAGUGGAAUAUAGGACCCUGACCAGAAUUCACAGCGCGACUGACUUGUGUUCAUAACGUGAAAUCAUGGUUUUUGGGUUUUCAUGAAUAUUUUGCAGCCUAGUGGUCCUUACGUGACCAGUAGUUAGUCACGACAUGAUGAUCAUUGAUUGUUGACUCUUUUACUAAGUUGACUUUUAGUUGAAUUGUAGUUAUGAGUUAUAGAAUGAGUUUUAGCCUAUGAUUGCUUAUGCAAUUUGUGUAGCUGAUUUGUGGAACUUGGUUGGAUUCAACUCUUUGAUUUAGGUAAGUCUUCUCGCUAUACUAUGUAGAACACCAGGUGUUACGGUAUACACCUUAACAUUUUUGUGAAAGACUAUGGUGGCACCAUAACAUAUUUAUGAAACACUAUAGUGGUACCAUAAGACCUUUUAUGAAAGACUAUGGUGGUACCAUAUCACCUGUAUGAAAGACCAUGGUCAGAUCAUAGCAAGAAAGACUGCAGUUGGACUGCAGCAGCAGAAGUUAGUGUAAGAAUAUGGUUAGAUCAUAACAUUCACAUUGGGUAUAUGGUAUUUUAGGGGAACUAGCUAAGCUUUGUGUUUACGGUUUUAAAUUUGUAUGUUUCAAAUUGUUAUGUUAGCAAAUGGAAGGGCACAACGUGACUACAUAGCAUCCUUGGAUAUGUUUUAAGACUUUCUCAUUUUUAAAUUACUAUCUUGAUAUUUAGAUUUGGUUCAUGAUUGUUGUUAUGAAUAAAUUAUUAUUAUUCGAUCAUUGAGAAUAGAAUGGGAACCAACGAUUUUAUUUUAAAUGAAAAUUUUGCUUUGAAAUUUGGGACAUUAUAACAAUAUACAAGUAAUAAGAACAACUGCAAUUACUUUUAAAGUAAAUAAUAUUGAAAGCAAUAGUUUUGCAAAAACCCAAGAGGUAAUCAGAGAACAUACUCCAAUUACAAAUACACUCUUGAUCGAUAACCCUUUAUGCAAGAGUGUAUCAAUUGAUAUAAUAGAAGAUUAAAGAUCGUAUCUUAACAUAUAAGAUAGAUACAAAAGGAAAUACAAUCCCACAAAAAGUGAGAGUCUUCUAUUAUAUGGAAGCCUAUUUAUAGAAAGAUCCUUAUUUAAAUAAAGAAGGUAUAUCUUUAGUUCUUAAAUUUUACCCACUACCAGAUUUUUAUUAUGGUUCCUGAUGACAUCAACGGCUACACACGUUGAUUUCCAUCAGUGCAAAAUGUCAAUUGCAACAUAGCUUUGACACAUAAAAUCACAAGGGUCCUAAUUCCCCCCUAUUUGAUGAUUUCGGCGCUAACUAUACUAAAACAAAACUCUUUAUAGAAUACAUAGAAUUUUACAUAAGUAUAAUGUUUUACAAAAAGGAUACAAAAACCUAAGUGAAGAGCUUCAUAAUCCCUCUUUCAAAUUCAUUAGCUUCAAUUAAGAUUUAUGGCUUCACAAAGUUAUAAUUAUCUAGUAACUCUUGUCUAAUUUUGCUCAGUUCCAUUGAUAUGGAAACAUGAUAGUUUCAUGCAACUUCUUUGUAUUUGAUUAAAUACAUCAGGCUAAUUGAAUGCAAUGUUGAAGUUCUAGGAAGAUCACAAUGUCUUUGGAAACACAUGUUCCCAUUCUUAUCUUGAUAGAAUACCCGAAACAUUGGUCUGUCAAUGGGAUUUUAGCAUUCAGGAAGAACACUAGGUGAUAGGCUAUUGUGGAUCAAUUGAGAGCCAAAAUUGUCACACCCCCAAACCGAGAUGGCGGAAACAUUCGGGGGCGGAGGACGUCAUGUACAAUAUCACAACAAUUGCAUCAUAAUAACCAAAGUAAACACAACCAUUAGAUUGAAUAUACAUACAUAUAUAUAUAUAUANGGCAUUCACAUUUGUUCAAUACAUAGUUUGUAUAACUGCAAAAGCAUAACCAUAGUAGAAAAGACGCAACUCUAUAUGCUACCUCUUCUCAAAAGCCUGCGGGUGUACCUGUCUACUGGUUCCCUGAGAAUACAAGCGAUUUUGAAAGUGUAUCAACAUUUAAUUUGGUGAGUUCAUAAGAAUGUUUUUGUAACGAAAACCUGUGAUUUAAUCUGUGAAAAUGUUUGUAUGUUUCUCAAGAAAAUCCAAUAUUUUCAUUAGUAUUGAAAAGUAUUCUUAUGCCUAAGACCCAAAAUGUAAGUUCGUUACUAUAUUUUGAAGUUGUAUGUAAGAGAGUUUGUAUGCUUGGUUACCACCAGUCGUAUUGUAUAAUGUUGUUUUAUAUGAAAAACCUUUGUAUGAAAACCCUAGAUACCACUAGUAAUGUUUAGUAUGUUCUGUAUGAAAACCUUGGCUACCACCAGUAAUGUAUAGUAGUUUUAUUACUUAAAAUAAAACCAUAUGUUGUAUCCCAUGGAAUCCUAUAGUGGUAGUGAAUAGUAGUUCUAUUAAAUUAAAUAAAACUAAUGAAGAAUGAAAUCCCGUAAAAAAUGGUUUGUUUAUAAUGUUGUGAGUUUGGUAUAACCAUGCUUCAUAUGACCUAGUGACCUCUACGAAGUUCUUCAGGCGUCAGAACGGUAUGAUAGUUGUCACCCCAGGCAUGCCUGCCUAACUGCAGCUAGCAGUUUAGGUGUAGGAUUAUCGGUCCCGAAUAGAUCUAUUCAUAAAUCUCAUGCUCUCCCUCCAGGAGACUGUGGUAGGAUUUAGUUCCGCACCCCGAACGGUACAAUUGAAGUAGUGCCUUACAACCCUGUAUUAACUAGUUUACGUGUAGUGUUGUAGUGUUCUCUUGUACUUGAAACUGUAUGUAUACUUGUAGAGUAAAAAUAAUUAUACUUAAAUAAUUAUUUAGUAUUGUACUCUUGUGUUCAGAAAACAGUAUUGUACGCCAUAAACUAUAUCUAUCAUAGUUUAUAUGUUUGUUAAUGUGUAAGCUUUGGAAUUGAUAAACCGUGUGUUGAAUCCCAAACUAUACCUAUUAUAGUUUGCAUGUAUGUUAUGUAUUUUAUUCACGUAUUGUACUGAAAACCUUGAAAAUUAUAGUUGUAUGUUGAAAACUUCCCUUAUGCUCAACAUGUUACAAAAGGGAUAAAAUAUCCAAAUAUUUUAUAAAAUGUAGUGAUUUCUUGUUUGUAUCAAUUGCAUAAGUUUUAAAUCUGUUUAAAAUCUUUUGUUUAUGAAAAUAAAAAUUCCUUGUGUUUUGCUUGUAUUCUCCCCCCUGACAACAUUAAAAACAGUAAAGGUAUAGGGGUAUGAACUCACAAUUGAUUAUGUGCAUGUGCUCGACAGCAAAACCGGAAAUAUGACCCGCGAGUUCGUGUACACGGGAUUAACGAUAUCCUAAUGAUAAUUAAACACAUAAUUGUAUUUUAAUUAGUGAAACCAUUAAUUAAAGUGUCAGAAAACACUUGCUUUUGGGUUAGGAAUGUUAACGAGACUUGUUUGGAGUGGCAAAAGAGAGUUUUCGGCCAAGGUUCUCGGCUCAAGGUUGUUUUCGGCCGUGAACUGGGUUUGCGUUCGUGAACUGCGUUUGUGGCCUUUGAAGAUAUGAAGGUUGUUCUUGGUGUUCUUUGUGAAAAUAUGAAUAUUUGAAGGUUUGUUCUUGAGGAUAUGAAUGUUCUUGGGAGGUUCUUAGGAGCAACUUGAGAGAGUUUUCGGGUGAAAAAUGUGAGAAAUGAAAAAUCUAUCUGGGAAAAACCAUUAUAUCGGUUGGUUUAUGGCCGGAAAUGGGUUCUUGGUUGUAAACGGGUUUACAGCCUAGGGGUUAACGCCCUUAUACGCGUGGCUGGACGAGUUUGCUGAUUUUUCAAGGGAAAUCUUUAUUUUUCGAGUGUUUUUGUCUCUGAAAAAUUAUAUAACCUCUAAUUAUAUAUUUCAGAUUAUUUUCUAACCCACAAGAACUUAACGGAAUAAAUAAAAUUCAAAAUUUUAUUUAACGGAAAUUGACUUUUGUUGACUAGAAAGUAUCGGGUUGUUAUAUCAUCCCCCCGUUAGAGGGAAUUUUGUCCAGAAAUUCUUUCUAAAAUGAAUACAAUAAUGGAAUAGGGAAAGAGAUGCAGAUACUUCUAUUACAUCUAGUCUUCUCGCUCCCAAGUGAAUUCGGGUCCCCGCUUAGCAUUCCAGUGAACCUUCACUAUCGGGAUGCGACUUUGCUUCGUUCGUUUGACUUCCCAAUCCAUGAUUUCGACUGGUUCUUCCAAAAAGUUAAGAUUCUAGAUGAUCUUGAUCCCAUCGAGUGGGAUCACAAGGGUUUCAUCAGAUAAAAACUUUUUAAGGUUUGACACGUUGAAGACGGGAUGAAUGUUGCUAAGCUCUUGGGGUAAUUGGAGUUUGUUAGCUAUGGAACCGAUCCUUGCGAGGAUCUCGAAUGGUCCAAUGUAUCUUGGAUUCAGCUUUUCACACUUUCCGAAGUGUAUCAUGCCCUUCCAGGCUGAGAUCUUUAACAGAACGCGAUCACCAACCUGGAACUCCAAGGGAUUCGUCUUUUGUUGGCGUAACUCUUUUGUCUAUCCCUCGAGGCUUUUAGUCAUUCUAGAAUUUGCACGAUCUUUUCGAUGGUUUCUCGAAUGAUUUCAAGGCCAGUGAGAGUGCUAUCGGGACUUGUCCCUUAGCUAACUGCGUAUCUCCUACUUCAGCCCAGCACAAACGGGAUCUGUACUUACGGUCAUAGAGGGCUUCAAAUGGAGCAGUCUUGAUACGGGUGUGAUAGUUUUUGUUAUAGGAAAACACGACCAGGGGCAAAUGGAUGUCCCAUGACUUGCCAAAAUCAAUAAUACAUGCUCUCAACAUGUCUUCUAGCGUUUGAAUGGUUCUCUCACUUUGCCCGUCAGUCUAUGGAUGGUAAGAUAUGCUCAUAUCCAGCUUAGUUCCAAGAGCCUUCUACAGUGACUGCCAAAGUCUCAAGGUGAAUCUGCUAUCCAUAUCAGAGAUAAUGGAUAAGGGCACACAGUGCAAUCGUACUAUCUCAUGGAUGUAGGUCCGGGUCAGUCUCUCCAUCUUGUAUGUUUCUUUGAUUAACAGGAAGUGGGCGGACUUGGUCGGUCUAUCGACGAUUACCCGGAUACUGUCAUGGCCACUCAGGGUUUUGGGCAAUUUGGUGAUGAAGUCCAUCGUAAUAUGUUCCAACUUCCACUCAGGUAUUUCUGGCUGUUGAAGUAAACCUGAGGGCUUUUGAUAUUCCACCUUCACAUUGGCGCAAGUUAGGCACUUGCCCACGAAGGUAGCAAUUUCUGCUUUCAUGUUGGGCCACCAAUAGAGCUUUUUGAGAUCCAGAUACAUCUUAUCUGAACCUGGGUGAACGGAGUAUCGAGUUCUGUGACCUUCAUUUAUGACAAUCUCCCUGUAAGCACCGAACUUUAAGGUCCAGAUCCGGUUCAUGAAGUAGUAAACUCCAUCUUCCUUGAUCCCUAAGUUCUUCUCCAUUCCCCUCAAGGCUUCAUCCGUCAUGUUCUCCAGUUUCAACGCUUCCAGCUGAGCCUCUCUGAUUUGGGCAGACAGAUGGGAAUGGAUUGUCAUUGUUAGUGCCUUCACUCUGUGACCAAAAUCCUCUUUUCGGCCAAGGGCAUCCGCAACCACAUUGGCCUUGCCGGGAUGAUAGCGUAUUUCACACUCAUAAUCAUUGAUUUUCUCUACCCAUCCUCGUUGUUGUUGGAUUAGUGUCUAAGGCUGUAACUAUAUUUGGUAAGUACUUGACCCGGUUGUGCAUGGUCAUUUUGGGUUGCCUUCACCAUAGCAACUUGACAGGGUGAUUUAUAUAGAGAGAAGAGAUAUUAUUAAUAUAUUAUAAGAAUAAUAUGUUAAAGGAAUAAUAAUAUUAUUUGAUUAAUAUAAGUCAUAAAUUAAUUAGGAAUUAAUUUGGUGACUUAAAGAGAUUAAUUAAAUAAAGGGGCAUAAACUGUCAAAUGUGUGAUAGUUGUAUUUUGAGCUAAGAAUCCUUAUGGAUAUGGGGUGGAUGAUUUUACGGAUGUGGAUCACCUAGAAAUCCUCCAAGUCCUUAUCUAAAAGGGAUAUUGGAUUGCUUUGAGGCUAAGUUAUCCAAUUAGGGUUUUAGGGUGAAACCCUAGGAGCUCAUAGUAUAAAUAGACCCUUAGGGUUGUGGAAAUCGGCUACCUUGUUAUUGGAGUAACCCUAGAGCCGAUUUCCCUCUUCCUUACCUCUUUCAAAUCAUCUUCUUGCUAGUUGGUGUUUGUAAGCCAUUAGAGGAGUGACAUUUGUUACACUAAGCUCCAAGAAGAAGAAGGUUUUCAAGCAAGUAACUCAAGGUAUUAUUCUAGAUCUGUUUUAAUAUGUCUUAUUGUUAGUUUACAUUAGAUCUAGCAAUGAAAUUUUGGAUAUAUAUUGCAUGUUCAAUUAGAGAAACCUAGAUCCAAGUUAUAGGGUUGUAUGUGCACAUAGGAAAGUUCUUAUGUCCAAAACCCAUAAGUGGUAUCAGAGACUUGAUUGUUUUCAAUUGAAUGUGAUGCUUAACUGCUUUGCUUGCUGAAAAUCGUUUUUCUUGCCCUCUGUCCGGCCCAACUCGGCGAGUCAGUGUUUGGACUCGGCGAGUUGGCCCUACAUGGCGAGUCCAAAGCUUGACUCAGCGAGUCCGAGUGUGAAUCAGAGGAUAAUUCAGAAUUUUGUUGCUGUUUUGUCUUGGAUUGAUACCUAAAUCGUUUUAUUAUGUAAAAAUCCGAAUUAUAACCUAAUUUAAUGAUUAUCCUUGACAUAACAAUAGAUAAUUUCAAAUCUUUUAAAUAUUGAUUAUUUAUAUGAUAAAUAUUGGACUAUUUAAGAUUAUUUGGUAAUUAUCUAAUGACUAAAACUGGAUUAGGUCAAAUAUAGAUAAUUAUGAAAUUAAUUGUUUAAUUUGAAUUAUUUGUUAUUUAAUCCCUAUUAUUUUGAAAAAGUUCAAAAUUUAUCCCGAAGUUUUGAAAUUUGAAUUUUGUGAUUAAUAGUUUAAUUUAGAAGAAUUUAAAUUUCAACCCCUAGAGUUUUACAAGUUUAAAAUUCAACCCUAUACUAUUAUAUUAUUAAAAGCUUAAUAAAUAUAUAAGUAAAAUUAAAAUGCUAGUCUUACCGUUAGUAGGCCUCAUUCACGAAAUCGGUCUAUAAGGUGGGUAUAAGGUUGNGUAUAAGGUGUUUGCCUAUAAAAUGGCGCUUAAGGGGUGUACACUCACACCACCGCUUGCUUGACUGGUGGAGGGUCGUUAGCCGAACGGGUAGGAUAGGGCAAUCCUCUCCUCAUUAAUAAGUAUAAUGAAUCUAUAAAGUAACUAAACUAUUUUAUAAAAUUCCCAAUCUUAGUUACUUUAGGAAAAGUGAAUUGAUGCAAUCCCAUGAAAUUACACUUUGCACCCUUGCUAAGAAGUUAGUGGAGCGUGUGUGGUUUACCGGCACACUAAUUGGUUCUAAGCAAAGGUGGCAAAGGGUGAUUCAUUGUUUAUCAUAGUUCGAUGGAGCGUGUGUGGUUUACCGGCACAUCGAAUAGAUGAUUGUAACAAUGAAGGCACCAUGUAGAUUUGCAUGGUAAUUCACACCCGCUUUGUGAUCCUCGGUAUCCCAGUCACAAACUAGAGGGGCAUAUCGAGAUUUAAACAUGUCAUUGAAAGGUUCAAUGAAUCUCUAAAAUCUAGGAAUUCUCAAUAAAACUUAAGGUUAUGUUUUCGUGGUGAAGAAUUAGUGAAUCGUCAUUCACUUACCUCCAAAUUAUUUGCAUGAUUGGAUUACGGCAUCCCUUUUCUAAUAUGUAAAUAAUGUUGUUGGGUCCUAGCCCUAAUUUUUCAUUUUGGGUGUUUAAUUAGGGAUCCAANNNNNNNNNNNNNNNNNNNNNNNNNNNNNNNNNNNNNNNNNNNNNNNNNNNNNNNNNNNNNNNNNNNNNNNNNNNNNNNNNNNNNNNNNNNNNNNNNNNNNNNNNNNNNNNNNNNNNNNNNNNNNNNNNNNNNNNNNNNNNNNNNNNNNNNNNNNNNNNNNNNNNNNNNNNNNNNNNNNNNNNNNNNNNNNNNNNNNNNNNNNNNNNNNNNNNNNNNNNNNNNNNNNNNNNNNNNNNNNNNNNNNNNNNNNNNNNNNNNNNNNNNNNNNNNNNNNNNNNNNNNNNNNNNNNNNNNNNNNNNNNNNNNNNNNNNNNNNNNNNNNNNNNNNNNNNNNNNNNNNNNNNNNNNNNNNNNNNNNNNNNNNNNNNNNNNNNNNNNNNNNNNNNNNNNNNNNNNNNNNNNNNNNNNNNNNNNNNNNNNNNNNNNNNNNNNNNNNNNNNNNNNNNNNNNNNNNNNNNNNNNNNNNNNNNNNNNNNNNNNNNNNNNNNNNNNNNNNNNNNNNNNNNNNNNNNNNNNNNNNNNNNNNNNNNNNNNNNNNNNNNNNNNNNNNNNNNNNNNNNNNNNNNNNNNNNNNNNNNNNNNNNNNNNNNNNNNNNNNNNNNNNNNNNNNNNNNNNNNNNNNNNNNNNNNNNNNNNNNNNNNNNNNNNNNNNNNNNNNNNNNNNNNNNNNNNNNNNNNNNNNNNNNNNNNNNNNNNNNNNNNNNNNNNNNNNNNNNNNNNNNNNNNNNNNNNNNNNNNNNNNNNNNNNNNNNNNNNNNNNNNNNNNNNNNNNNNNNNNNNNNNNNNNNNNNNNNNNNNNNNNNNNNNNNNNNNNNNNNNNNNNNNNNNNNNNNNNNNNNNNNNNNNNNNNNNNNNNNNNNNNNNNNNNNNNNNNNNNNNNNNNNNNNNNNNNNNNNNNNNNNNNNNNNNNNNNNNNNNNNNNNNNNNNNNNNNNNNNNNNNNNNNNNNNNNNNNNNNNNNNNNNNNNNNNNNNNNNNNNNNNNNNNNNNNNNNNNNNNNNNNNNNNNNNNNNNNNNNNNNNNNNNNNNNNNNNNNNNNNNNNNNNNNNNNNNNNNNNNNNNNNNNNNNNNNNNNNNNNNNNNNNNNNNNNNNNNNNNNNNNNNNNNNNNNNNNNNNNNNNNNNNNNNNNNNNNNNNNNNNNNNNNNNNNNNNNNNNNNNNNNNNNNNNNNNNNNNNNNNNNNNNNNNNNNNNNNNNNNNNNNNNNNNNNNNNNNNNNNNNNNNNNNNNNNNNNNNNNNNNNNNNNNNNNNNNNNNNNNNNNNNNNNNNNNNNNNNNNNNNNNNNNNNNNNNNNNNNNNNNNNNNNNNNNNNNNNNNNNNNNNNNNNNNNNNNNNNNNNNNNNNNNNNNNNNNNNNNNNNNNNNNNNNNNNNNNNNNNNNNNNNNNNNNNNNNNNNNNNNNNNNNNNNNNNNNNNNNNNNNNNNNNNNNNNNNNNNNNNNNNNNNNNNNNNNNNNNNNNNNNNNNNNNNNNNNNNNNNNNNNNNNNNNNNNNNNNNNNNNNNNNNNNNNNNNNNNNNNNNNNNNNNNNNNNNNNNNNNNNNNNNNNNNNNNNNNNNNNNNNNNNNNNNNNNNNNNNNNNNNNNNNNNNNNNNNNNNNNNNNNNNNNNNNNNNNNNNNNNNNNNNNNNNNNNNNNNNNNNNNNNNNNNNNNNNNNNNNNNNNNNNNNNNNNNNNNNNNNNNNNNNNNNNNNNNNNNNNNNNNNNNNNNNNNNNNNNNNNNNNNNNNNNNNNNNNNNNNNNNNNNNNNNNNNNNNNNNNNNNNNNNNNNNNNNNNNNNNNNNNNNNNNNNNNNNNNNNNNNNNNNNNNNNNNNNNNNNNNNNNNNNNNNNNNNNNNNNNNNNNNNNNNNNNNNNNNNNNNNNNNNNNNNNNNNNNNNNNNNNNNNNNNNNNNNNNNNNNNNNNNNNNNNNNNNNNNNNNNNNNNNNNNNNNNNNNNNNNNNNNNNNNNNNNNNNNNNNNNNNNNNNNNNNNNNNNNNNNNNNNNNNNNNNNNNNNNNNNNNNNNNNNNNNNNNNNNNNNNNNNNNNNNNNNNNNNNNNNNNNNNNNNNNNNNNNNNNNNNNNNNNNNNNNNNNNNNNNNNNNNNNNNNNNNNNNNNNNNNNNNNNNNNNNNNNNNNNNNNNNNNNNNNNNNNNNNNNNNNNNNNNNNNNNNNNNNUCGUCUUACCGCUAGUACGCCUCAUUCACGAAGCCGGUCUAUAAGGUGGGUAUAAGGUUGUUGCCUAUAAAAUGGCAACUUAAUGGGUGUCCACUCUCACCCACCGCUUGCUUGACCGGUGGAGGGUCGUUAGCCGAACGGGUAAGACAAGGACUUAUAAAUUCUCAUUAAAAGUAUGAUGAAUAUUAUAAAGUAACUAAAUGUUUUAUUAAAUUCCCAAUCUUAGUUACUUUAGGAAAAAUGUGAAUAAGGUGCUAAUCCAUGAAAUUACACUUUACACUUUGUUUAAGUCGUUGGUGGAGCGUGUGUGGUUAACCGGCACACUAACUUGGACUUAACAAGGUAGGUAAAGGGUGACUUAAGGUUUAUUAUAGUAUCGGUGGAGCGUGUGUGGUUUACCGGCACAUCGAUUGAGUGAUAAACUUUAAGGGUACCAAGUGAUUUGCAUGGUUACUUCACACCUCGUUUUGUGAUCCUCGGUAUCCCAGUCACAAAACUUGGAGGGCACACUCGAGAUUGAAACAUGCCUUUGAAAAGUUCAUUGAAUCUCAAAGAAUCUAGGAAUUUCUAAGAACCAAUCAAAAAACCUAAUAUUUAAUAUUUCGGUUUUCGUGGUGGAAAUUGGUGAAUCGUCAUUCACCUACCUUUCAAAUAUGUUAUAGCUUGGAUUACGGCAUACCUCUUCUAAGUUAUAAUAUAUUGUGAUUGGAUCCUAGCCUUAAUAUUACAUUUGGGUGUUUUAUUAAGGACUCUCUUAAUAUCUAAACUAAUCUUGUCCUCUUCCUUCAGAUGUCUUCAAACAAUGCUGCUUCUGGCUCUAAUCCUAAUGGCUCCUUUACCCUUAUGAACUUCUGUGGGAAAGUCACUUUUGAUGGAUCCAACUUCAGUGAAUGGAUCAGAAACAUCAGGAUGAUUACCCGCUACGAGGACAAAGAAUAUGUCCUUGACAAGCAGCAUAAGGAGAUUCAUGAGACCACUGCAACUCCCCAGGAGAUCGCUGACUUUUAGGCACAUGAAAGGGAUGCUACCAAGGUGGCAUGCAUCAUGAUGGCCACGAUGACAGCAGAACUCCAAAAGUCCUAUGAGGAUUUCUACCCUUAUGAAAUGCACCAAGAUCUGAUGGAAAGAUACCAUCAAAGUGCACGACAAGAAAGGUAUGAAAUCAUCUACUCCAUGAUAACAACCAUGAUGAAGGAUAGGGAAUCCGUCACGCGCCACAUGCAGAAAAUGCAAAGGUGUGUGGAUCGAUUGUUGAAGCUUAGUGUAAACUUCCCUGAGGAGCUUGCAAUAGAUAUCAUUUUGCACUCCUUACCAUUGUGCUAUGAUCAAUUCCACAUGACAUAUCACAUGAAUAAGGAAGAGGUCAGACUUCGCAAACUUCAGGGAUUUCUAAGACCGCUGAAACAGGUCUUAAGAGGAAGUCGGUUGUUAACACUCCUACUCCAAACUCUACUUUGGUUUUGGCAAUCAGGAAAAGUAGAGGGAAGAAGAGAAAGAGCUCUUCAAUGGGUACCAAGGCUCGGACCCUUGAUGGCUCUUCUUC
rnacentral:lncRNA from 1 species